CCCAGAGAGCUCAUCUAGUCCAGACUCUUGUGCUGAGGCACGACAAAGUAAACCUAAAUCAUCCCUGACUGGUAUUUGUCCAACCUGUUUUAAA